rnacentral:lncRNA from 1 species
UUGGCCCAUUUCUAGUGGCCUCCAGCGCAGGCGGUGCUGAGAGAAACGCCAGUAGAAAUAGGUUUCCAGCCGCCUGUACAGUAUGCUUCUGUACUAGUGGCUUGGUGGGGACUAAUACACAAGGAAUACAAUCUGAAUUCUACUUGUUAUGAAGUUAAGUAACGAUCCAGACUAGAAGUUCUCUGCCUAGUGCUGACCACAAGAUACGAAAGAAGUAAAUGAUCACACACACGCGCAAAGAAAAUUCAGAUUUGAUGCAAACAAGGAGUAUGAUUGGAAUGCAAGUGUUGCAAUCAGACCCAACCAAAAUAUUGCACCAAACAAAGAUAGCAAACUGGUUGUUCAACUCAAUACAAAAACUUUCAGCAAUGAUGCACUUGACAUAACCUGAUCUUGCAACUUUCUUUUUGAUUUUUUUUCUCUUUUCUUUAUUCUCCUUUUUUUUGACACACUUUUAUUUUAUAUAACUAAACACAAUGAUCAGAUAUAAUACUUGCAAACUUGAUGAUAGAAACAAAGCACAACCAGAAACUAUAACGGAUCAAAGAUAACACAAAGGAUGAUAUAGGCUAUAUAGAUUUUUUUUUUGGAGAUUUUUAGAUAUAAAGAGGCACAAAGAACAUGUAAAGGAUAAAUGAUCAGCAACUAAAACAAAGACUCUAAUGAACUGUGACUUAAUCGAACUCACUAAAAUAACAGAUUCAAACAAAGGUCUAAGCAAUAUAUUUUUUUGGCUUUUUGGUGGAUAGGACGAUGCAAAAUAUAUAUAUAGCUAGAGACAAAAUUUCUACCAUGGUAACGAAAGCUUUGAUACCAGAUGAUGUGACAUGUUGUCCCGAUCUUCAUGACGUAGGAUGAACACCGAUAACUAGCCAAAGAACAGCCGGAUAACUUGCUGCAAGCAGCAAUAACUAGUGCAACCUGGCAAAUUAAACUCGAAGCCAACCACCCUCUUUAACCAGCAACUUGAAUCGAGGAUUCACCCAACUACACUCUCAAAGAACCAAUCAACACAACCAACAAUCAAUCGAGGAAUACCUUGAAGGGAGUAGGAGCACCAGUUGGGAGCGGAUGAAGCCGCCGCCUAUGUAAUCCCGUGAGGAAAUCACAAGAGCAAAGGGUAGAGAUCACUCUCUGAAUUUGUUAACAAGUAGCUGAACAAAGGGUUCUGUAUUUCAAUUAUCAAAAGUCUGAGAUUACAAAGAGUCUUAUGGAGUAUUUAUACUAGUAAAUAGCCCUGCCAAAUAGGUAUGAAAACAAAAUAGAGUUUCUAAGGGAAGGCAAUGUGAAAGGUCCCUUCGGAGUGGAUUCCUGAAGUGGCUUCGCGUGAUUGUUGGCCUCUAGAGCAGUUUCAAAUAAAC